ncrna:Nitrosomonas eutropha C91 radC RNA
AUCCUUAAAACAUGUUCGCUGGCGUAGCUGGCAGCAUCCCAGGCAGUCAAGGCCAUCAAGACUGCGGCGAACCUACAGUUCGCUGGCUGAUCUCAUCUCCGGACGCUCAUCGUCCAUUCCAACCCCAAGGGACCAUUCAUCCCUAUGGGGGUGAG